UUUUUUUUUGGUGUUUUUCUUUUUCUUUUUUGUUUCUUUUUCCUUUUCUUUUCUUUAUCUUUUUCUUUGUUUUCUUGCUGUUGUUUUUCUUUCUUGAUGUUCUUUUAUUUCAUAUCAUCCUCUUGUUGAUGUUCGUUGGUCUGGGUGAGCCGCUUUCCUCCCAGAAGAGACCCACCCAUAAUUUUGGUGAUGUUAGUUAGGGGCCGAAAGGUGGAUGAUGUUUCUUAUAUUUUUCUUCUCUUGAUGUGUUUUCUUCUUGUUUUCUUUUCCGAUGUUUUUUCUGUUCUUUUCUUCUUAUUUCUUUUCUUCGUGUUUUUUAAUGUUCUUUUAUUUCAUAUCAUCCUCUUGUUGAUGUUCUUCGUUGGUCUGGGUGAGCCGCUUUCCUCCCAGAAGAGACCCACCCAUAAUUUUGGUGAUGUUAGUUUGGGGCCGAAUGGUGGAUGAUGUUUCUUUGUAUGUUACUUUUCUUGACGUUGUUCUGUUAUUGUUGUUAAUUUUCUCUUGCGAUGUUUUUUUCUCUUUUUCCCAUUUUUUUGGUGUUCCUUUCUAUAUCAUCCCUUUUUGAUGUUCUUUGGUCUGGAUGAGCCUCUUUCUCCCCAGAAAAGACUCACCCAUAAUUUUGAAGAUGUUAGGGCCUGAAGGUGGAUGAUUUGUGUUUUUUAUUUUAUUUUCUUGAUGUUUUGUUACUAUAUUUUCCUUUUUCUGGUGUUCCUUUUUAUUUUCCUUUUCUUUGGUGUUCCCAUCACGUGGAUUGUCUACGACAUCUAACGAGCACCACAAGCCCGGGUUUAUUGUUCGGAGUUUGCUCUCCUAGGCAGACUGCCUACCACGGCUGACGAGCUCCACCUGCCCGGGUUUAUUGUUCGGAGUUUGCUCUCCUAGGUGUAUUACCUAUGACGGCUCACGAGCCCAACCUGCCCGGGUUUAUUGUUCGGAGUUUGCUCUCCUAGAUGAAUUGCUUUCGCUAACGACCUCCACCUGCCCGGGUUUGUAAUCGGAGUUUGCUCUCCUAGGUGAACUGCUCACGCUAACGACCUCCACCUGCCCGGUUUUGUAAUCGGAGUUUGCUCUCCUAGAUGAACUGCUUUCGCUAACGACCUCCACCUGCCCGGGUUUAUUGUUCGGAGUUUGCUCUCCUAGGUGAAUUGCCUACCACGGCUAACGAGCCCCACCUGCCCGGGUUUAUUGUUCGGAGUUUGCUCUCCUAGGUGAAUUGCCUACCACGGCUAACGAGCCCCACCUGCCCGGCGUUGUAGCCGAAAGAUCUCCGGCACCUCCGUCGGGGUCCCGAUGGACGCCGAGGCGCCCUACCGGGAGCCCUUCAGUCCUGCCAUGCUCGCCUGGGAGACCUUGGGC